AGUGAACGCUGGCGGUAGGCCUAACACAUGCAAGUCGAACGGAAGCACAGUAAGAGCUUGCUCUUACGGGUGGCGAGUGGCGGACGGGUGAGGAAUACAUCGGAAUCUACUUUUUCGUGGGGGAUAACGUAGGGAAACUUACGCUAAUACCGCAUACGACCUACGGGUGAAAGCAGGGGAUAUUCGGACCUUGCGCGAUUGAAUGAGCCGAUGUCGGAUUAGCUAGUUGGCGGGGUAAAGGCCCACCAAGGCGACGAUCCGUAGCUGGUCUGAGAGGAUGAUCAGCCACACUGGAACUGAGACACGGUCCAGACUCCUACGGGAGGCAGCAGUGGGGAAUAUUGGACAAUGGGCGCAAGCCUGAUCCAGCCAUACCGCGUGGGUGAAGAAGGCCUUCGGGUUGUAAAGCCCUUUUGUUGGGAAAGAAAAGCAGCAGGUUAAUACCCCGCUGUUCUGACGGUACCCAAAGAAUAAGCACCGGCUAACUUCGUG
rnacentral:rRNA from 1 species